UUCAGAUCCGUGUAUUCUGGUUCAAACCCUCGCUGGGGGCUCAAUCUCCAUGGCAGCACUCUAAUCCAAACGGGAGAAAAUCUUCAAAAACAAAAAACAAAAAAAGAAAAAAGAGGGAAAAAAUAGUACUGCGAGUGCGAGAGCUCGUUGACGUAGAAUCUCAGUCCAGACCUUCUUUACCGUUCAUCUUUAUCUUCUAUAGAUCUUAAUCCUACUGAAGAACUUCAUCAAUUAUUCCGAUACGCUGGUUGAAUCGUUGGUUUCCGGAGUUCUCUUUAGUUUAACUUGUCGAGGUUCGGCUUGGAUCUAAAGUGGAAGAGAUAAACUAGGCUUGUCUGAAAAGUUGUGACUUUUAGUAUAGUUAUCAGCCCCUGUGUUGAGUUGUAGAAGUUGGAUCUACUGGGAGAAACUGAAAUCGUAUCUAACUCAAAACUGGAUACAGACUUUUUGGCUUGGAAGUUCUUUUGCUAUGGAAGCAGUGGUCGUUGUUGAGCAGCAUAGGAACCAAUAUUAUGGUCGGGUCAAGCCACAUGGGCCAGCUCGAUUUGGGUCACUCCCGUCCCGAGACUUUAGUGGGAUGAACUGUAGGAGUUUCCAAUCUGGAGCUGGUAUACUCCCAACUCCCUUGAAGGCUUGUACGUCUGAACCUAAACAGGGCUACCCUUCUUCACCCAAAACACCACCAACUUGUUUAAGUUCCAUCUCCGGAAAUGGAAAACAACUUGCUACUAUGCGGAGUGCUCCAAUUCCUAUCAAAGUCAAAUUUUCAAACAAGAACGGUGCUGUAAAUGAAGAAUUCUAUGACCGGAGUUUCUCAUUCUCUGAGCUUUGGGCUGGACCCACUUACUCAAACUCCCCGCCUCCAAGUUCAUUACCUAUUCCCAAAUUUUCAGUUGCGAAAAGAACCACAUCACUGGAGUUGCCUCGAUCUGCCCCUGAAUUUGAAAUGCAUCCAUCUGCUAAGUCUGCACCACCAUCCCCAACUAGGGACCAAAACUUUUCCUCCAGAUUUUUCUUUCAUAGUGCUGACUCUGCGACCAAGACUCUGCGUCGCAUUCUUAACCUUGAUGUUGACAAUGAAUGAACUCCAGGGAGCAUCAAGCUCCUGUAAAUAGGCUUACUCUGUGAGCUGGGUUAGUGUCAGGUUGUAUAUAGAGUUAAUAAAUUGGUUAGUGAUGAAAGUCACGAGUAUCCUUAGUUUUCAGUGGUUUACAUCCUUCGAUCGCAGCUAUGGGCUCUUAUGCUUUCAACUAAUAUUCAGAUGUUGCACCUUGAAUCUGUGCUUGGAUGCAGAACUGGGUUUGGUUUUGUUAAACACGGAUUAAGUUGAGAUAUUCAGAAGGAAGAAGUUGGCUGUUGGAGAACUUUAAUGUUGUAGUGACUGGAACCUGCAUACGGGCACUGCAUUAAUCUUCUGGCUAUAGUCUAUCUAGUUUGAUAUGGACAUUGUGACAAGUACUAGUUCUGGCCAUCAUAUCCUUAAUCUCCAUUCCAUUCUAGAGUUUUAACUUUUAGGUAGUCAUGUAAUUUGUAUCAUACUGUAGGAUCCUGAACAGCUGAACUAAUCCUUCACUUAAGUACUGUAGGUUUCUGUUUCAUUCUUUGCUUCCAUUCCUUGCAUAUCCUCGGUUCUAGCUGCUACCCUUCUUGCAUAGAUAGUCUGAUGACUUAUUGAUUGGGUUCUUUAUCCCUGAUGAAUUGGUUAUUCGACAGUUAAAUGCUCUCUAAUAUCCUCAAUCCUUUUCUCUUUCUCAUACCUCAUCUAAUCAUCUUAUAGCUUCUCUCCUUUGCCUGCACACUAUGAGGGAUAUAUUCCUUCUUCACUGCCUUUUCAGUUUUUUUUUUUAUGAAAAGGUGGGAUGGGAUAGUGAUAGUUUGACUUAUAGUUUGCUUCUCUUCUUUGGGAUUACUCCAUGUAGCAUUUUCUGUUUCCAGUACCUCUUGGUUCUGUCAUAUGUGUGCCCGUGUAGCAUAGAACUUUCUUAUUGGUUUUUGAAAUGUUCAUCAUCCUUCAAGGAGAUCAUUGACCCAUGAAGCGGUAUAUGAGAAAACCUGGGGGACAACAGUUCAAGUGAUGGUGUCGUGGUAUGGUUGGUAUUGGUUGGUUUGUUGUGGACGUAGUUUGUCACCAGAGAAGUCUUCUCGGCCUGGUCCAGUUUGUUUGUUUAUCCUUGUAUUGAAAGCUGUACACUCCCAGAGUCCUGCUGUUGGUCGUUGGAGUUUCUUUUUCGUAUCAGUUUGGAUGGUAAUUGCUUUCACUUUCUGUUUUGAAGGGCAAUAUUUAUUGCAUUUCCGGAAAGUGAAGCAAUAUUGUAGUAGUAAUGUUAUUUCAUUCUGUUGGCUAUGUUUGAUUGUGUAUGAAUGGUUUGUGUAGCACGGAAGUGAAAUUCUAUAGGAUUUUGUGCAAGAUUUGUCACACUCACAUACGUUUUCUGCUAGUUGUUGAGAGACCUCAGGAAAUUUCUGCUAUUUAAACAUUAUUAUGAUUGAAAUAUUACAAAAAUUGUUGA